rnacentral:rRNA from 1 species
UACGUAGGGUGCAAGCGUUAAUCGGAAUUACUGGGCGUAAAGCGUGCGUAGGCGGCCUUCUAAGUCGAACGUGAAAUCCCCGGGCUCAACCCGGGAACUGCGUCCGAUACUGGAAGGCUUGAAUCCGGGAGAGGGAUGCGGAAUUCCAGGUGUAGCGGUGAAAUGCGUAGAUAUCUGGAGGAACACCGGUGGCGAAGGCGGCAUCCUGGACCGGCAUUGACGCUGAGGCGCGAAAGCCAGGAGAGCAAACGGG